rnacentral:lncRNA from 1 species
UUAGACUGAGACUCAGAUCUGAUCGACAAGAAAACACCCAUGAUGAGACAAGAUGGCUUGGGGAAGGAGGCAGGAUUCCAGGCCCAGAGAACAGCCACUGCCAAGAUCUGGAGACAGGAAAUGUCUUGGUGUGUCCCGGGAUCAAGAGGAAGGCCAGUGUGGCAGGAGCAGAGGGAAUAACAAGGAGAGUGACAGAAGACAAGGAGUUCCAGGAAGAAAGGACUUAUACAAAGGAAGAAAGGAACCAUCAGUGAAAAACUAUAUCAAAAAUGUUCAGAACUGAAGGAUACGAAUUGCCAAAUGCCUGGUACAGUGAAUGAAAG